ACAAUAAUAUCUAACCUUUGCUCAAGCUCUUCCACCUAUCUCCUCCUACCAGUCUAUUUAUCUUUCAGGCUUGGCUCAACCAAUCUUCUGUUUCUCUCAGGACAUGUUCCCCAUUUGGUAUCUAUAGCCCCUCAUUUGGCCAUGGAACAGUCUGACUCAUGCUGUCUUAUACUGAAAUUAAAUCCAGUCAAAGAAAAUGAAGCAUGGAACGCACAACUCUGACACAACAGGAAGCGGAUAUUCACUGAACAUGACUCCUCUUGCUCCUUGCCUAAAAUUAAGCAUCCGGGCAAGGUGACCAGGCCAAACCCCAAGUCAUCUGGUAAUCAUACAGCUCAACCUUGUCCUCCUAGGGAUGAAGAGAAACUCUACAUGUCAACUGGACCUUGUAAAGAGAGAGACAACCAGAUGAAGAGAAAAGCUCCAGCAGAAUUGAAGAAUGUUUACAUUCUUGCAACCACAAAUGUGAAAUGAGCUCAAAACCCAGUGGGAGUUUAACAAAAUACUUAAGUUCAAAGUGAGGCCGCUCUGUGCAUAUUCCCCUCCUGGUUGCCCUGGCAAUGAAACAUCUGCCUUAUAGUAAUGAAAUAUUACUGAGAAAAACCCACAAGCAAAAGAGAGUUUCUGGACAUAUAAGCUUGUUAUUCCUCCCACUGACAUUGGUCUUAUGAGUGUAGGAA